GACGAACGCUGGCGGCGUGCUUAAUACAUGCAAGUCGAACGGACAGGCACUGCUUGUGUGGAGUGCUCGAGUGGCGAACGGGAGAGUGAGACGAGAGUAACCUGCACUUGCCUUUGGGAUAACUUCAGGAAACUGGGGCUAAUACUGGAUAGGAGCACGAGAUGCAUGGAGGGGGUUGGAAAGGUUCGGCGGUCGGGGGUGGACUCGCGGAGUAUCAGCUUGUUGGGGGGGUAGUGGUUUACCAAGGCGUUGCCGGGUAGGCGGUCUGAGAGGGUGACCGGCCACAUUGGGACUUAGGGACGGCACAGACUGCUAAGGGAGGGAACAGUGGGGAAGAUUGCAGGAGGGACGGAACCCGGGUGCAGCAACGCCGCGUGCGGGAUGACGGCCUUCUGAUUGUAGACCGGUUUCGCCUGUGACGGAGAUGGGGGGACGGUAAUGGGUAAAGAAGCACACGGUAACUUCGUG
rnacentral:rRNA from 1 species